ACCCAAUUCGCACGUGCCUGUGGCCGCGUGCUGGUCGGUGGGCAUCCGGACAAGAGGCCGGACAGCCGCCAGGGGUUGGAAGACGGAUGGAGGGGAUGGACAUCCCUCAAAUCACGCUUCCCGGUUCCCGCAAGGGAGCCGUUCCCCGACACAGACCAGCAGCCGGAGGCAAAACCGGCGAACCCCGAAUCUCCACGGGGGACGCAGCUUAAAGCAACGACGGAGCGGGCUUUU
rfam:Bosea sp. TND4EK4 genome assembly, contig: Ga0136738_133